rnacentral:lncRNA from 1 species
AAAGCAGCCUUUCUUUAGGGCUGUCAUCUGUUCUGGGGAUCUGUUGCUGUUUCUUGGGCCCACAGAAUACACUCCACACCUCGGGACUCCAUAAUAUUGGACAAGGCUGGAAGGCCCAUUUGGCUCCUGCAGCCUCUUAUGCAGGAGGACCUCCUGAGGCUUCGGGCAGGAGCUGGUGCACACCUGGAGGAGAGUGCUGGUGAAUGGCAGUCAUCCUCUUCAGCGGUCCUCCCAGAGCUGUCCUCAGCAUGGCAGCCUCCACAGCCCCUGGGUGUCACCCCCGGUUUCGUGUCUGCCUCGGACUCCAGACCUGCCCCUCCCAGGCUGGCCCAGAUGGAUCCUCUACAGUGACUAACCCAAACCAGCACCAGGCAGGGACCCAAUAAACCUUUGUGAAUGGA